AGAGUUUGAUCCUGGCUCAGAACGAACGUUAGCGGCGCGCUUAACACAUGCAAGUCGUGCGAGAAAGGGCUUCGGCCCCGGUACAGCGGCGCACGGGUGAGUAACACGUGGGUAACCUACCCUCCGGUGGUGGAUAACUCUCCGAAAGGGGAGCUAAUACAGCAUGAGACCACGGUCCCUCAGGGAUUGUGGUCAAAGUGGGCCUCUCUUUAGAAGCUCACGCCGGAGGAUGGGCCCGCGGCCCAUCAGCUUGUUGGUGAGGUAAUGGCUCACCAAGGCUAAGACGGGUAGCUGGUCUGAGAGGAUGAACAGCCACACUGGAACUGAGACACGGUCCAGACUCCUACGGGAGGCAGCAGUGGGGAAUCUUGCGCAAUGGGCGAAAGCCUGACGCAGCGACGCCGCGUGAGCGAUGAAGGCCCUCGGGUUGUAAAGCUCUGUGGGGAGAGAAGAAUAACGGCCGGCGAAUACCCGGUCGCAUGACGGUAUCUCCUUAGCAAGCACCGGCUAACUCUGUGCCAGCAGCCGCGGUAAGACAGAGGGUGCAAACGUUGUUCGGAAUCACUGGGCGUAAAGCGCGUGUAGGCGGCAGUGGAAGUCGGGUGUGAAAGCCCGGGGCUCAACCUCGGAAGUGCACCCGAAACUCCACAGCUAGAGUCCUGGAGAGGAAAGUGGAAUGCUUGGUGU
rnacentral:rRNA from 1 species